rnacentral:rRNA from 1 species
AGUGAACGCUGGCGGCAGGCCUAAUACAUGCAAGUCGAACGGCAGCACAGCAGAGCUUGCUCUGUGGGUGGCGAGUGGCGGACGGGUGAGGAAUACGUGGGAAUCUGCCCAGUCGUGGGGGAUAACGUAGGGAAACUUACGCUAAUACCGCAUGCGCCCUUCGGGGGAAAGCCGGGGACCUUCGGGCCUGGCGCGAUUGGAUGAGCCCACGUCGGAUUAGCUAGUUGGCGGGGUAAAGGCCCACCAAGGCGACGAUCCGUAGCUGGUCUGAGAGGACGAUAAGCCACACUGGAACUGAGACACGGUCCAGACUCCUACGGGAGGCAGCAGUAGGGAAUAUUGGACAAUGGGCGCAAGCCUGAUCCAGCCAUGCCGCGUGAGUGAAGAAGGCCCUCGGGUUGUAAAGCUCUUUUGUCCGGAAAGAAAAGCGCCGGGUUAAUACCCUGGUGUCCUGACGGUACCGGAAGAAUAAGCACCGGCUAACUUCGUGCCAGCCGCCGCAGUAACAC